CUCAAGCAUUUAAAGCCAUUAGCAAUGACGGCAAGAUCAUAGUCGGUAACCCCAGGAUAAAAGGACCUGGAAAUUGACUGAGAAAGGUCCAAUUCAAUCAAACGAGAGAACCUAGCAGCCAUCUUCUGAAGCAUGUGAGGUCCNGGACCAGCACGAGCAGCAAGUUUCUUCCUUUCCGUACUCUGCAAGCGGAGCCAUCUCUUGC
rnacentral:misc_RNA from 1 species